rnacentral:lncRNA from 1 species
AGCCACUUUGUAAUUGGGCUUAUGAGCUUAAUUGUUAUUGCAAAUGAGACUAUAGCAGUUCCUGGGUGAGAAGCUGAAAAAUAAGAUGACAAUGAUUAAUCAAUACUUUUCUUCCCAUCCUAAAUAGAGUGGAAAACAGAGCGCUGUGCCUGUCAAAUGGGAAUGGAAGUUCUUUUUAAUCUUUCUGAAGAGCUUUCUGGUGGUAAAUGAAAACAGCAGACACCGUUGAGGAGAAACAAUACCAAUUCUUUGUCCAGAUGAGAAGCCAUGAGGAGGAGAUAAGGCGAUAGUAAUGGGACUGUCAGAACUGUCUGGAAGCCAAAAGAACAGAGAAGAAAGUCAGUUUUGAUUUCAGCAGCUAAUUUAGGACAAAAGGUCAUUGAGGGCAGCAAAACCCAAACUUUAUCGCUAUUUGAAAUAUGUGCUGCUAUGUGCCAGGAUUGUGGAAACCUGAGCUGAAGUAUCGUGAGACUUACAGCGUGAUAACGACACCAAAAAUUCUCCAUCAUCUUGUCUUUGACGUGAUCCACUGAUCGGAAUCUGUUUGUUCACUGAUCGGAAAGGACA